rnacentral:rRNA from 1 species
CAGGCCUAACACAUGCAAGUCGAGCGGCAGCGGAAAGUAGCUUGCUACUUUGCCGGCGAGCGGCGGACGGGUGAGUAAUGUCUGGGAAACUGCCUGAUGGAGGGGGAUAACUACUGGAAACGGUAGCUAAUACCGCAUAACGUCGCAAGACCAAAGAGGGGGACCUUCGGGCCUCUUGCCAUCAGAUGUGCCCAGAUGGGAUUAGCUAGUAGGUGGGGUAACGGCUCACCCAGGCGACGAUCCCUAGCUGGUCUGAGAGGAUGACCAGCCACACUGGAACUGAGACACGGUCCAGACUCCUACGGGAGGCAGCAGUGGGGAAUAUUGCACAAUGGGCGCAAGCCUGAUGCAGCCAUGCCGCGUGUAUGAAGAAGGCCUUCGGGUUGUAAAGUACUUUCAGCGGGGAGGAAGGUGUUGAGGUUAAUAACCUCAGCAAUGACGUACCCGCAGAGAAGCCCGGUACUC